GGCCACUAACCGCGGCGAGGAGCAUUCCUAAAAAAUUGAGACUCUCAAGCCUUUCGUUUUUCUGAGUCAGUGAAAAAGUUGUAGAGGAAGAAGGACGUGAUCAAAUUCCCAGCCCUGCCCUUCACAAGCCGUCAGUAUGAGUGCUGAGCUACUCUCCUUUGUUUAAUUUGCCACUAACGCGACCAACAUAAAAUACAUCAAUAAAAAACAUACUAGGAAGCCAAAAAUAAGGUAAUAUCUGCAUAGAGAAGCAUAUAUAAAUGUAUCAUGACAAUACAAGAGCUUCCUCAAACCCGGGAACAUUUAACACAGACAUUCCUGCACGCCUCGGAAAGAGAUCCCAAAGCUGCCACUAAAGCACGGCACGGUGUGAGAAGACAGUCACAGAUCAUGCAUAACAAAAUAUGGAGUAAGGAAGGAAAAGGACAGAAGAUAUCUGAUUGAAAAAAGGGCAGAAAAGCCCAGAUGUGCAUAAAGAAGAAAGAAGCAGAAAGCCCCUCAAUAAGGGGACUUUUUAAAAGAAAGACUUCUAAAUUGAAAAGGCAUCAUUUACUGGUGACAUGCUGGGCCUGAAAAAAAAGUGGGCAGUCCACGAAAAAAAAUUAUUUGAUUAGCUGCAGAACUGGAAGAAUCUGCAAAAAGUCAUAUACCUUAAAAAGUAACCCUGAUGUGGUCUAAAUUCAACAGCAUUCCUUAAGCAGCAGCAUUCAAUCACUAACACUGUGGGACUCCAAGACUGUAGGUUUUCCUCAAUCAGAGACCACAGUUCUCAGAAGUCGAUCAAAAAAUUUUAGGAAACAGGACUGAAGAAACAGAAUCACGCCAGAGGCAAGAUGAAGAGUGCAGAACAUGGAUUUUGUUAGCUCAAGAAGCAUCAUGACAAAGACAACAGUCAGAGAAGAGAGAGGUUGUAAGGUCACUUUGUGUUUCUGCUGUUGUGAGACCUUAUCUCACUGUAAAAUAAUUUCAGAGCCACUGGGAUAAGACCUUUUCCAGAGCAGGAGACUGCUCAGUAAAGAAAGAACAACAGCGAAUUUGUGUGCCAGGAGCCAGAAGCUACAAUGCAACUGCAAUGAAACAUCCUGUCUUUCUGCAAAAUAAGGGAUUGCAGCCCUAACUCAUUUUAUUACCAACCCUGAUCAUUUUUGUUAGGUUAUCCCUAAUCUACUGAUCACUCAGUCCUUUAAAAUACCAUUUUCUAAGAAAAUUAUGAAAUAACUAUUUCACUAUUUUAAAAAUGCAAGAAGCACAGUUUGUUUUGUCCUAUUGUGCCAUUAGAGUUCAAAAUACAUUUCCAAAUACAUUUCCCAGUCUUUCAGGAUAAGAAGGAUGCCUAGGGAGAGGUUAAUUUUUUUUUUUUUCUUUCUGGAGUAAGAAAUAAGUAAUUGCCUUGUCAAUUGUUGCAUCAGGAAUGUACAGGUGAAAGAUGGUGAAUCACUGAUGGCAGAUGUUUGUCUAAAUGCAAUACUUGGAACUAAAUGUGUGAAAUGUGUUUCCUUUUCCCUUCCCCAAUGAGUCAAAUUUAAUACUUUCAGUAUCUUUCCUUUCCCAGGAGAAACAACUGUUCCAAGAAAACCAAUAUAACCUAAGUUUGUAAUAUUACUUAAGCAGAUCUAGUCCAGGAAUGAGGAAUUAAAGGAUAGGAUGGACAUAUAUUUUCCCUCUGUUAAUUAUGGAACAUUGCAGGUAAGCGAUCAUGUUAAUAAAACUAAUUUUUGAACUUCAAUUUAGCCAAGAACGCUUCUACCAUAUAAUGGUUUUAAUUAGCUUUCUAAUUAAUUAUUUUUAAUCAGUCAGAAGCAGUGUACUAGUCACAAGCAGUGUGAUUUCCCACUUUAACCAACAAGCAGCAAAAUUUUUCUUACAGACUGCUAUUAUUAGAAUAGAUUGGGAAAAUCACUGAAACUUUUAAAGUUUUGCCAAGCUAACCCUGAUGAGCUUCAGUGAGCAAAGCCUAGGAGAGAGUGGUAUUGCUGAUAACUGGACACCUGGAAUAUAGAAUUUAUAGCCUCCUAGGACAUGUUGCAGAAACCAGAAGUUAAAGAAGAAACUAACAAAGACAAUUCAGCAUUUGUGCUGAAAAUGCCUUAUCAACGAAAAAGACAGUAAAAAGACUGAAAAUGUGCAUCAUAACAAAUCAAUAACCAACAGGAUAUAGAAUACUGUUUAAUGAAAAGAAUUAAGUUUAUAACCAAUGGAUAUUAAUUCCUUAGUUUGAGAAAAGUGUAUAAAUAAACGAAAGUUUUGAAAGUGGGCCUGCAUUUCGGCCGAGCUGUACCCAUGCACGCCGGCUGUGAAUAAAGCAAUGUUAUUUUCUAAUACUAAAACACAGGGUUUGGUUAACCCGGCGCUUUCGGCGGCAGGUGGAGCAAAACGACGCAUGUAAAGGGCAGAAACUGGUUAUAACCGUGCCUUAAAAACGCCAGCUGCUCAUGACAGCUUUCUGGGGGUUCCUGAUCCCCCCCAGACCGUGUAACGCUACAGGAAAUCGUGUUGUAAGUUGUUAUUUCCGCACCCUCUCCCCUUUUUUGUUACGGAAACCGAUUACGCAGUGCCAACUUUGCUGCCUCCUUAGCAAGCAAAACACAACUACCCUUGGGCGACCAUCUGAAAGCUCUGAAUGUAAACCACGCCUCUCGUUAAUUACCAGAUGGCAGACAAGAGGCUGAUGCAUUUCGGGGCCAAGGGGUGGGUUUUUCCAUGUUCGCCCCACCCUUCGAAUGCGCUCCGUGCGGCGGGACUCACCGUAAACCUCGUGUGGAAGCUCACAGCAAGGCAAACGCAGGAGGUGGCAGGUCGCAGCUGCUUCUGAGCCAGAAUGAGAGCAAUCAUCGUUAGAGUCUUCCCCAAGCCCAUGUCAUCCGCUGCAAAAAGAUGCAUGCAAGUUAUUACCUGCAGAAAUGAGCCCCCUUGGAUCUACACUGAGGGAAAUGCUACAACAGAAAGUGCCCUGGGGAGCCCAGAAAAUCAAGAACACACAGAUGGAAAUUUCAUACAAUUUCAGGGCUGGGAUACCCAAGGUAAGCAGCUUCUGAAGACAGGAGGUCAGCAGUACCAUAAAUGAGUUUUCCUAAUGUUGCCUAACACUAACCAGCUUAGUGCCAAGAGUGCUCUCAGAGAGCAGACAACAAUGUCUUGUUCAGCUGGAAAAUCCACCCCACCUUGCUUACAACAGCUAUCCCUGUCAAGGAAAGGGAUUGAGAAAACUUCUUUCCCACUGAGUCCAAGACCCCUACAGACUUUGAAACAGGAAGAGGGUCUAUAUACUACCAUCACAGGACAUUCAGUGGCCUUCCCCACCACUGGAAAGGUCCCAAGACAAUGUGACAAGUAACACAACAUACAGGCAUCUCCACACCAUCCUGUAGAGGCAUGUGCCUUUAUUCCAACACCUUGCAUAUUAUCUUAAACAGAUCAGAACUGCCUAAUCUGGAGCCCAUCACAUUUCAUGAACUCAAUCACCUGCAACACUUUUUGAAAUAUUUACUUCUUAUAGCUCACCAGGAAGAAUGAACAAUGAGGUUCUCAGCCUGUUCCUCACACCUCUGUUCUGCCAGUCAUGUACAAAUAACAUAGCUGGAACGUAAUUAGAGAAUCUCCUUCUAGCAGGAUGCAAAGUAUGUCAAAGUGGGAAGGAAGGAAUACUCUAGGGUACCAUACAGAGGUUACAAUUCAUUCAUCAGCAUGACAGCUUCCAUCCUUGCCAACCCACCUUCAGUCCAGAGGGAUCUUCAGCUGCUGUCUCCUCUGUUGGACAGGAUUCUAGAGAUUUGUGAAGAUGAUUAAUAGCCUCAAAUGUGGCACUGUGUACAGCCCUGAUUCGGUCUCCUGUCAUUCUUCCCCCAUACAGAUUCUGAACACCAACACUCACUGCAAAGAUACAGUACCAGAGAUGUGUUUACAAACCCAACUUUCCUAAACAAAUCUUCCACCUCAGAGAUUGACUUCAGUGGCUACAGAUGCCUGAGGGACAGUAUGUAGUAACAAAACAGGUACUCUCACAUGUAUCCACAAGUUGCAGGAUUAUUUCAGAAAUAGUACUCAACAGUGUUCUCUGUAAUGAUGAAGUCUUUCUAUACUUACUUCCAAAACUUUGGCUGCUAGAACCCAAAGUAGCAGCACCCAAGGGGUGACUGUGUGAGCCUGGAGAGGCCUUUGCUGUAGGAUCCUGGAGUGGGAGUGGUGUUAUCAACUUCGUACCACCUGGCCUGUCAACUGGGUUAGACAAAGCUUCUUCAUGGCAGCUGCUGCUUGUGCUAUCCUGCCCUUAAGAAGAAAGGAAUCACAUGCUGAAAAGGUUACACAGUGAAUCUCAGAGCCUUGCUCUACAGCCAGAGAACAGUCUUCAUUUUGCCCAAUAGUCUGCUUGCAAAAUACUAUGCAGUGGUGACACUAAUUCAAUAGCAGACUCCCACAUCACCUGAGCCACUGCAACUACCAACAUGUGCUCUUGGACUGCUGCCGUGACAGGCAAUGAGUCCAGCUCCAGCCUCAGUUUGUGGUUUACAGCAAAACAGUGAACUCUGCAACUGUGAUCAGAGUAGUACAGACAAGGUGAAUUCUGCGCCCUGUUCCAAGAUGAUUUAAUAAUUUUGAAGACAUCACUCUUGUCAAUAUUUUGAACACAAAAACUAUUGAAACAUCCAAGAACAAAUGGGCCAAGAGCUCGUGAGCUUUUUUCUCUCAGGAAUGGCACACUGGAAGCUGCUCAUUUUGAAUCUGGUCACUGGAAUAUUUAGUGACAACAACAUUCAUGAACAGCACAGUUCCAGAAUGCAACAGUGGGAGCUAACACUUCAUUUGCAUGUUCUCAUAGACAUAUCUGUCUCAAUCAUGUAGCCAAA